AUGAACGCUGGCGGCGUGCCUAAUACAUGCAAGUCGAGCGAACAGACGAGGAGCUUGCUCCUCUGACGUUAGCGGCGGACGGGUGAGUAACACGUGGAUAACCUACCUAUAAGACUGGGAUAACUUCGGGAAACCGGAGCUAAUACCGGAUAAUAUAUUGAACCGCAUGGUUCAAUAGUGAAGGACGGUUUUGCUGUCACUUAUAGAUGGAUCCGCGCCGCAUUAGCUAGUUGGUAAGGUAACGGCUUACCAAGGCGACGAUGCGUAGCCGACCUGAGAGGGUGAUCGGCCACACUGGAACUGAGACACGGUCCAGACUCCUACGGGAGGCAGCAGUAGGGAAUCUUCCGCAAUGGGCGAAAGCCUGACGGAGCAACGCCGCGUGAGUGAUGAAGGUCUUCGGAUCGUAAAACUCUGUUAUUAGGGAAGAACAAAUGUGUAAGUAACUAUGCACGUCUUGACGGUACCUAAUCAGAAAGCCACGGCUAACUACGUG
rnacentral:rRNA from 1 species